UGGGGAAUAUUGGACAAUGGGGGCAACCCUGAUCCAGCAAUGCCGCGUGUGUGAAGAAGGUUUUCGGAUUGUAAAGCACUUUCGACGGGGACGAUGAUGACGGUACCCGUAGAAGAAGCCCCGGCUAACUUCGUGCCAGCAGCCGCGGUAAUACGAAGGGGGCUAGCGUUGCUCGGAGUGACUGGGCGUAAAGGGCGUGUAGGCGGUUUACACAGUCAGAUGUGAAAUCCCCGGGCUUAACCUGGGAGCUGCAUUUGAUACGUGUAGACUAGAGUGUGAGAGAGGGUUGUGGAAUUCCCAGUGUAGAGGUGAAAUUCGUAGAUAUUGGGAAGAACACCGGUGGCGAAGGCGGCAACCUGGCUGCAUGACUGACGCUGAGGCGCGAAAGCGUGGGGAGCAAACAGGAUUAGAUACCCUGGUAGUCCACGCUGUAAACGAUGUGUGCUAGAUGUUGGGU
rnacentral:rRNA from 1 species